AUUCUCAAAGCAGCAUUCAUCGGUGUGGAAGACUUCCCUCGCUCAUCCCUUUCAGAAAAAGCGGAAGACUGCGAUCUCCUUCAAGGUACGACGGCUGCACCGGCCUCAACUUUCACUGCGGGCUCCCCCCUGCUGUCCUGACUCCUGUUGUUGACACAUUUGUGCCAUAAUCAUUUUACACUCAGUCUGUGUACAGAGCCUCCCGGACAGAGCCUGGAAUUCCUACAGCUGGAAAAAAAAACUCCCGAAAUGUUCGCAGUGUGUUGUU